AUUGUCUGUUGUUUAUCAUAAUAGUUGGUAGUAUUGUCACAUCUCCUCGCGAACCUUUCCCAACCUUGAACAAAAUUAGGAAUUAAUAGUUAGAAGACUUACAUUUGUGAAAAGAGAGAGAGAGGGCUCAGUUUUUUUUUUAUAAGACCCUGGAUUAAGUUUCGUUCGUGCCGGUUCGUCUUAGAUUCGUCUCCUCCAAGACGUUACGGAUUCAUCAGUUCAUCGCCAUUAAGAAGCAAUUUACUCCUUUGACCCACAGCUACCACAAUCAAACAUUCAAUGUUUCGUAUUCCUCUUAGGGUGUUUAUCCUCCUAUAAAAAGGAAUCCAGGAUCGUAGCUCUAUAGGUUCACAUGAUCCAUCAAGACCCAAAAUGUUCAUAUUCAUCUGUACAUCCAAUUGUUCCCAUAAAGGUUGGGUCUAUCUAAUUCUCUCCAUCAGAUUUCUGGAACAGAUGAUUCUGUUUUUUCUAUUAAUAUAGAUGAUGUUUUCAGUCUGAUUAAGAUGUUAACUAGAUGUAUAUAUACUCUGAGGACAAUUGCUUUUGCAGGAAUAUAAUGAAAUCAGCUAAGCUGUUAGUCGGUCAGGCUAUCUUGGAAGACCACUGAAUAUCGAGAGUACUUUCAGAGUUUCCACUGGCUGUGCUCAUGGCUUUGGUUUCUUUUUCUUCGCUGGUACCAGUGUUGCUGUGAUAGCCAUAUUGCUCAUUCACAUCACUGAUGUCAAAACUAUAGUUUUACUCGCUAAAAAGUUAAAUAGUAUUUCCAGAAGCGGUGGUGAUCACUGUGGCAGAGGAGGGGGUCGCGGUGGUGAUCACGGUGGCAAAGGAGGGGGUCGCGCUGGUGGUGGUCAUGAAGACCAUGUCGGCAUGGAGAAGAAGAAGAAUGCGAUGGAUUGAAAAGAUGUGGAAUGGUUCGUCGACCAGUGACAUGGAGACGAUGGAUCUGGGACUAUUCUAAGGAUCACCGUUAUUCUAUUUAACUAGAGCAUGUGUCAUUCAAGUGUCAUAGAACCUUGGUAACAUUCGGAGUUGGUCCUGUGCUCAAACUCCGGUAUCCAAAAACAGAAUAGCGAUGGACAUUGCAGGUAGUGUGACGAGAGAGCACAUAUUCCAAUCUUAUAUUGCAAGGUUUGGCCCAAGUUGGCUACAACAACAUCUGCUAACUGAAGCUCUUGACUAGCAUGGUCUGAAGGGAUUAAGGGUGAAUUUCCAUUUUCAUGUCCCUUAUGCCAUUGCCUAAUUCGUUUUUUUUUUGUUUUUUUUUUGUAUGGAAACAUUUGAAUUUAUCAAAAGGAAUCAUUCAGUGUUAAAAAAAGAGCAUGCGUCAUCGGUAUCAAUAAAAUUUCAGGAUUUGAUUUUCGUAUUUUUUUUUAUCAAAGUUGUAAGAAUAUUGGUCUCAGUUUGAGAUUUAAGAUUACACUUUUUGGUUUCAACCUUAAAAAUCUCUGACCACAAACUCAUUACCAAAACAUGGAGAAUUUUUUUUACCAAAUGAUACUCUCUUUUUUUCUACAAAAAUAUGCUUUGUUUUCUAUAAGUGAAAUGACUACAAUUUCAUUUUUGAGGUGUUUUACCUUUGUAUUGGUUUGUUGAUACUCAAAUGAUGGUGAACAAAAUGCACCGGAACGGAAAAGUACAAGCUAUACUAAUACCAAAAUAUUCUGCGACCUAAAUAUCCAAAAUCCGACCUAAAUAAUAUCUACCGAACUCGAACGGAAAUGGUAAAAUAUUGGAAUGGUUUCGGAAUUUUUAUCCGAAGAACUGAAACUGACACGAAUGAAAUAUUUUAGGUACCCAAAUUUUGUUUAAAUUAUAAUUAUAUAUUUAAAUAUAAUAAUUAAUUUAAAAAUAUAAUAUCCAAAAUAUUUAAAAUACUCAAAAAUACUUGGAGCUGCUUAAACAUUUUAAAAUGUUUAAAAUGUUUGAAGCAGUAAAAAAACUCAAAACACUAAAAUAUUUAAUGGUUCCCCACUCAAAUAUUGAAACGAACCAUUUUUCAUGAUAGUUUUAUGCAUUUAGUUAUACAUAAUUAUAACAUAUAUAUGUAUAUUACUUUUAUUUUGGAAUUUGAAGAUCUUAAAAUAUAUUUGGGUUUCAAGAAAAUAAACAUAAUUUAAAUGGGUAGUCAAGCCCGUUGAACCGGACCCGAACCAAAACUAAUAAACCCAUAAUCUGAAAAGACAGAAACUGAACUCGAUCGGAUACGUGAAUAUCUACCCAUACAUAAAACUAAAAUUUAAAAAUAUCAGAACAAUAAUUUACAUUGUUUAACUGCUCUUAAGAAUAAAUCAACAACAUAUCAUUCUUAUAGUCACGACCAUUAAAAUAUCUCUAACAAUAUUAUAAUUCUUUUAAAAAUAAAUAGGAACUUAACAGUAAAAAAAUAUGAAACAAUUGCGGACACGUCACUAAUUCGAGACUUGAGAAACCGACACAUGUCUGCAUUCAAAACGCGGUGUUUCAUUAACUUGGAGUUGGAGUUGGAGAUCGUGUGGGAUUUUGGUGUAACUCAUAAACAUACGGGAAUAUUGUCGUGUGGGUCUCAGAUCAAAUUAAAAAUAAUAAUUUUAAAAGUAUACUUUUAUAUUUUAGUAUACAAAUAAUGUCGUGUUCUUCGUCUUAUGAAUACAUCAUAAAAACAGCUCUUUUGAUAUUGUUGAUAUUCAAUCCGAUCAUACCGGUAUGAGAAAAUAAUGUAAAUCAACAUAACCGAGUACAAUGAUUUUAAUUGGAUUUACAUGUGUCGAAAAAACAAUAAAAUGAUUUUAUUUAUUUCAAUGUGUAAAAUAGCCCAUAAAAACCAAAAAAACUAGAUAAACCGAUAGGUUUUUAGUAUAUUAGUGAACAUACAUAUAAAAUGUAUAAUAUUAUAUAGUGAAUGCAAAAUUGAAUUUUCUAAUAAAUUGAUGUAAAUGGGUAAAGAAAUAAUUAUAGGAGCACUAUUUAUCGUGAAAUCAUAGGUCCAUGAUUUCACGAUAGAUUUCACGAUAAAUAGUGCUCCUAACUUCUUUUUUUUUUUCAUACAAUAGCGCAAACAUAUUAUUAUAUAUUACUCAUACUUAGCUAUUUGAAUAACGACACUCUGAUAUUUGAAAAUUUUGAAUGACUCUUUUUGUAUGGUAAACGGUUUUAUUUCAAAGUAUUAAUACAUCAAUGCAAAAACAUAUUUUGCAAGAUAAUUAUACGCAUCUGCAACAUAAGCUCUGUAUUACAUACGAGCAUGGAUUCUAUAAAAAAAACGUCCAUGCAAUAUUAUCAUUUAAUUUAUAUAUAUAUUGUUAAUUCAUAACGCAAGUUUCCACAUUAUUAAUAACUUCUAAAUUAAUAGUAAAACAUGUUUGAUAAAUUUUAAAUUUAUUUAAUAACGAUAGACCGUAUUCAAUUUAAAAAGUAACAUGGAAGUUGAAGUAUGAAUUUCAUUAAUAGAAAACUAUCACAUCUUAAUUAAAACAUACACGAAGAAUUCCUAGUAAGCGCGAGUCAUCAGCUCGCGUUGACUACGUCCCAAGACUUGCUUCGGCGGGUCGAUCCGGACGGAGGAUAUUGUCAGGUGGGGAGUUUGGCUGGGGCGGCACAUCUGUUAAAAGAUAACGCAGGUGUCCUAAGACCAAGCUACUCACACUAACAAAAAGUUGUUUUGGCUUAUAUAAUAUAAGUUUUUCAUUAACAUAUUUCUCUGGGAUGAUCAUUCAUAAUUGUAUGUGGACAUCAUUAAUCUUAUUAUAUUAGUUUUAUCUUCAUAGAAUAAUGAAAGUUACUGUCGUUUUAAUUCAAUCCAAAAAUAUUUAUUAAAAAUAGAAACAUGAUCUCUGAAUUCUAUUUAUUAAUUUUUGUUUAUAAUAUCGUUUUCAAUCUACAAUUGUUUUAAAAAUACUUUAUAAAAUUAAUGUAAAUUCAUAUAAAAUAAUUUUUUCUAACUUCCCGCCCGACCCUAGCAUUUAAUAGAAUAAGAAGUUGGUUAAUACCAAGGGAGCGAAUAACUUGAUCGGCGCAUUGUUUGUUGUACUUUUCGUGUUUCAUGGGUGAUGGGACAACGAAUGGCGAAGUCGGUGACAUAAUCCCACCAAAUCCAAGGCUUUCCACUUUCAUUCAUCACUCUAAAGAAGCAAGCUUGGCGUAAAUUUUGAAUUAUCACGUCUCUCCCGUUGUAUCCUCUGGAGAAAUCUUGCUCAGGGUCAGGAGCACAGUACCUUCCUCCGUUGAUGCAUUGCGAUUUGCAUUGUCUGCUUGCCAGAAACGCUUCAGGACAGUACCAAGUGAUGUAGUGGGGAGUGAAGCGAGUGUAUCCUCCUAAUAGUGUUUGAGCUGUGAAGAAGAUGAUCGAGAUGUAACGAACUUUCUGUUAUUUUCAUUAACUGAAAAUAGAGUACAUUGGUUCACUUAUAUAGUGAUUGGACUCCGGUUUACACAAAUCGUAACCGGUACAUUAAACCACAAUAAACCAACAUCUAUAUACUCUAAUACCUCCUUUCUCGAGAAUCUGAGCCGCUCCUUUGAACCUCUUAAGGAACCGGAUCUGUGCAUCACACUUGGAUCCGCACUCAUCAUUGCUGUUGGUCCAUAGCUCGUAGGCUACUCGGUCGUUCGGGUGUGGAAGAGCCUGAAAGAAUAUUCUCAUAUUGUUAUUCUGUUUUGUAACUACCGCAUACUAAACUGCUGUAAUAUAGGGAGAUCACUCCCGCCAGUCCAGACUUAUACGGACGGGUACUCCUUGAUCUAUGGCCGUUUUGAUGGUGCUCCCUAGAGAUCUGCUCAACAGCGCUGAAGGAAUCGUGAUGUUCAGCAGGUAUUCCGCAUCUGCUGUUUCGUCCUCUGGGGCGUCCAUGGUGAUGAGUGGCUCCGGCCUGUUAUCCGCCACCAAUAUUGUCGCAGCACCAGCUCGUUGCGCGUUCCAGGCCUUUAAGGUGAAGUAACAAUCUGGGGGAGGGGCCAAAAUCACAACAAAUAACUGAGUCAUGGGUUCCUUGCAUAGCAAGUCAUCCUAGUUUUCAUGUAAAUCAAAAAGAGAGAAAGGAAUGGGGGACCUCCUCGAUCGACGAGAACGAAUGUGGGCAGUCCAGCAACUCUAGAUAUGAAAGAGAUGUCGAAAUCCUCAAAGUUCUUGCAAGCCUUCUGGUUAGCUUUGGGGUAAACCACAGAGCCAGACAUGCUUCCGCCGUACUGAGGAACACCAAAGUUGCCAAGGGCGCAUUCAUAAAUUCCUCUGAUGAACUCGGCUGAAGUCACUCGCAGGCUAUUCUUCUCAACCACGAACAUCCCCAUGCACGAACCCCACCACAUCACCCAUCCCAUUACAAAUAAUCUUACAUUCUUCAUCAUCAUCAUCCCAGAGCCGUGCUUACCCUUUGUCAAAAAAGCCAAUGGCCUUAGGCCCCAUAAUUUUUACUUAAUAUUUAGGGCCCCAUUUUAUAUAUAAAAUACAUUAGUUAGUGUUAUUUAUGUUUUACGGAGUUUGAUUUUAUAUAUAUUUUUAUCUAGAUUUUAGUUUGGAUUCUCUUGUUAGAUUUCAAUCAUAAACAUCGUCACUAUAUAUACCAUUUUAGUUUUCUGUGAACAAACCAAAAUCUUAUAUGAAAAAAUCAUUUGAAAAAAAAAAUUGUUUUAAAUGUUGUCAAGAGAAAAAACUUGCCUGAAAACGCACGCACGGCACCCGAUAGAUACAUUUCUCUGUUUGAUUUCUAAUAUUGGCUAACCUUUCUAUUUUCUCUCUUUCACUUUAGCUUCGCUUUCCCUUUAGAUACAUUUCUCUGUUAUGUUUGUAUAGGAGUGCUAAUUUCUCUAAAAAAGGAAAUUGAAACUGUCAAACUAACUCUCAGAGCAAAUAUAUCUUCCGCUUUCUCCUUCCUGGUUUUGACGUGGCAAUAAACACACUGACGCGAUUUGGGGCUAAUAACCUGAUUUAUGGGUCUUUUCUUCUGAAUAUAUAUAUUAGACCCAUAUUUCAUUUUCUCAAAGUUGUAUAUGCCUUAUCCCUUUUGAGCAACGUUAUGCCUUUAUCCAAGAAAGCCUUUUCGAUCCCUUUUAUUUCCAUCUUGUAGUUGUGUAGUAGUGGUAGUAGCCUAGUAGGCUUUUAAAUAUAUUUUUUUUUUUUUUUUUCCCAAAUUGUUAUUUUAUUGAUCAAAUGGGCCAAGCCCACGGCCGAAGCCCAAAUACAACAGAGCACAACCCAAAAAAACCCAGCCACCUAGCGGGCAACAAGCAUAAAGAAACGGCCGAAGCCCAAUCAAAGAGACAUGGCCCAAGGCCCAAAAACCACACCGUCGGGCUUGAUCUGGAUCGCGUGAAGGAGGCCGAGCUAAACCACGCGUAAGAAUCUGGCUAAUCAGCUCGCCACGUGUCGUCCGCCUCGACUUCGACGCACCAUCCUCUCACAGCCACCGACGCUUACCACCGUAGCCACUUUUCGCCGGAGCUCCGAGACUACAGAGCAUCCGCGACAUCAUCGGUCAUCUACGCCGCCUUGUCUUCUCGACGGAGAGUUCAAACGUUGAACGAAAUCUCAUCCGCCAAUGCAUCACCGGAAACCCUAGACAAGCAAAACGUGACCCACCGCUAUCCUCCUCAUCACCACUCGUAACCGUCGCCGGAGAUCUUCUUCUUGAGAUCUCAACCGCUGCGACCAACGGGUCCAUAGCUGACCCACGAAACACCUCAACCUUCACAACCUCGAAACCUUCACCACACCCAAAAGACCUAGGGUUCUAAGACGGCAGGGCGGAGCUUAGUAAGCCUCCACUCUCCGUGACCAAAAAACCGGCGAAGAAAGAGCUGACUGAGCCUCCUCUUCCCGGACACUAGAGCGGCGUUGGUGAGACUGAGAAAGCCUCCAUCCAGGCUUUUAAAUAUAACAGUAUAGAUUUUUUUUAACAAGUAUUAAUUAUUUUUAAGCAAUUUCCAAAAAUACUAAUUUCCGGUUGACUAUUAAAAUAACCGGACGAAAGUACGUCCCUCUUUUUAUGAAACGCGGUCUUCCGAGUACCCGAACCUGUGGACCAUUUAUCUGGUCAAACAGCUUUACACAUAUCAAAUCGAACAAACCAUGAUACCCAGAAAUAUAUAUAACUAGUGUUCUUCCCAUGCUAUGCAUGGGUUAAAAUAACUGUAUUAUUAAUUAUUUGAUGAUAAAACUGUAAAUUUAUAAUUAUUUUAUUAGAAUAAAUUAUGAUCUUAUACUAUAUAAAUGUUGAUAUGAAAGGCAUGUGAGAUAGUUGCAUUCAAACUAAAAAACUGAAAAUGGUAAAACAAUAUUGGAAAACAAAAUCAAAAUUUAUUAUUUAAAACAAAAUCAAUUAUACUUAUAUGCAUAGUCAUAACUUUUAAUCAAAAUCAAGUAUUGUUAAGCAUCAUGUUUAUGAAUUAGAUUUACCAAAAUAAAAUAAUUUUAAAUUGAAACACCGAAGCUAUACGUAAUUUACUUUGGACACACUUCACAAAAUUUACCAAAAACUACAGUAACCAAAAGGUUAAACCAAAUAGCUUUCACAGAAAAUCCAAUUGGUUAUGCAGUUUAUAUAUGCACUAUUAUCUAGUUUAUUAUCUUCAUCUUCUUAUUUUUUCUAACUCUUAUCCCUCUUUAAACAAUUAUUUACUUUUUUCUUUAUUAACAUCUUCAUCUGCAAAACAAAGGAUUCACUUGAAUGUUAACAGUAACAAAAUCAACAUCUAAAAUGACAAAGUCAAUUUCCUAAGAAAUGACAAUUCAACAUAUACCACAAAACUUUUACUAUAUGAAAAUAUUUUUUAUCAGUUAAUUAGAUUGUCUAAGUAUCUAAUAUCAUGAGCGUCAAGGGAUGCAGAAGAGUAAUAAUUUGUAUUUAGAUAAAGCUAUAUAAACUAUGGAUAAAUGUAGCAACUUACAGUUAAGAAUAACUAAACUAUCUCUAUUAACAAUUUACCUUAAUCUCAUUCCCGCAGCGAUGUGCUAUCUUCACCUUCCUCAGUGGUAAGAUGAUCUGGCCUUAAGUUUUGCUUGCAAACCAGACAGGGGUUUACUUUAGUUUGUCUUCAAAGUUUCAAUCCUUGAGGAUAUCUUUUAAUGGAUUUCUAGUUUGUAAAGAUCCUCAAUAUAACUCCCAACUUGGUUUGAAAAAAAAAAAAAAACUCCCAACUUGGAAGUCAAAGAAAAACAAUUUUGAUUAAGUAAAAAAGUUUGAUUGCCAUUGCGAAUACAAAGGGUUUGAUUCAAUAAAAAAAAUUUGUGUAUCGUAACUUGGAAUGCUUCUCUGGAUACAAUAUUGAAUGGUUUAUACUUUAAACCCUCUAUAAAUUAAUAUUUCAUAAAUUAAUAAUCUCUGUAAAUUAAUAAAUUUCGUACAUAAAUUGAUAAAAUAAUAAAAUAAUAAUAUUUUUAACAAUUCUAUGUAAAUGUACAGUCUCAUUAAAAUUAUAAAUUAAUAAUCUAUCUCUAUAUAUAUUUUAUAUAAGUAUAAUCUCUCUCCCUAUAUAUAUUUUAUAUAAAUACAAACUUAAAAUUAUAUCUAAAACCACAUAACAAUUCUAUGAAACAUAAAAAUAUACACCAAAUAAGAUAAUAAAAUAAUAUGAAAGUUAAAUUUCUACAAUUUAAACAAUUUAAAUACGGUAAAAUCAAAUAUUUUCUUAUUUUAUUAAUAAAAAUAUUCAAAAAUAGAAAUAAAUCUAAAAAUGAAAUUUUUGUAAAUUAAUAUCUCUAUAAAUUAAUAUAAUUUGUAAGUCUCAAUAUUACUAAUUUAUAGUACAAACAUAAACUUUCAAUAAUUAAUGAAUAUAUCGUAUUAAUUGUGAGUAUCUUUACUUUAAAUCUAUCUUAUUAAAGUAGAAGUACUUUAAGCUUUUGUUUGGCAACAUAUAUAGCAGUUAAAAAAAAUAGUGUUGUUUGGAAAUAUGGAUAACAGUAAGUUAUGAAAAAAAGUAAUGACUUUAUGCUAUUAAAAAAAUUAGAAGUCUGUUACAUUAUAUUAAAAAGUAAUGGGUUUAUGUUACAUGAUAUACAUAUUCAAAUCAAAAUAAUAAUUUAAAAUUGAUUUAUAUAAAAAAUUCAUUCAAAAAUAUACAUAUAUUCAA